ensembl:rRNA 5S_rRNA 5S ribosomal RNA
GCUUAGGUCACACAACCCUGAGAACGCCAGAAAUUCAUCUGUUCUCGGUAGCUAAGCAGGGUUUGGCCUGGUUAGUAUUGGAUGGGAGAACCAAACCUGGGAGUACCAGGUGCUGUAAGCG